UACGUAGGGACCGAGCGUUGUCCGGAAUCAUUGGGCGUAAAGAGCGUGUAGGCGGCCUGCUAAGUCCUGCGUGAAAUCUCGGGGCUCAACCCCGAGCGGUCGUGGGAAACUGGCAGGCUAGAGUGCGGGAGAGGAGAGUGGAAUUCCUGGUGUAGCGGUGAAAUGCGCAGAUAUCUGGAGGAACACCGGUGGCGAAGGCGGCAUCCUGGACCGGCAUUGACGCUGAGGAGCGAAAGCCAGGGGAGCAAACGGG
rnacentral:rRNA from 1 species